rnacentral:misc_RNA from 1 species
UGGUGGGCUUGGGUGGCAAGG